rnacentral:rRNA from 1 species
GUCUAUGGCCAUACCACCCUGAAUGCACCCCAUCUCAUCCAAUCUCAGAAGCUAAGAAGGGUUGGGCCUGGUUAGUACUUGGAUGGGAGACC